UUGGUAAGGUAACGGCUUACCAAGGCGACGAUCAGUAGCCGACCUGAGAGGGUGAUCGGCCACAUUGGAACUGAGACACGGUCCAAACUCCUACGGGAGGCAGCAGUGGGGAAUAUUGCACAAUGGGCGAAAGCCUGAUGCAGCAACGCCGCGUGAGCGAUGAAGGCCUUCGGGUCGUAAAGCUCUGUCCUCAAGGAAGAUAAUGACGGUACUUGAGGAGGAAGCCCCGGCUAACUACGUGCCAGCAGCCGCGGUAAUACGUAGGGGGCUAGCGUUAUCCGGAAUUACUGGGCGUAAAGGGUGCGUAGGUGGUUUCUUAAGUCAGAGGUGAAAGGCUACGGCUCAACCGUAGUAAGCCUUUGAAACUGGGAAACUUGAGUACAGGAGAGGAGAGUGGAAUUCCUAGUGUAGCGGUGAAAUGCGUAGAUAUUAGGAGGAACACCAGUUGCGAAGGCGGCUCUCUGGACUGUAACUGACACUGAGGCACGAAAGCGUGGGGAGCAAACAGGAUUAGAUACCCUGGUAGUCCACGCCGUAAACGAUGAGUACUAGCUGUCGGAGGUUACCCCCUUCGGU
rnacentral:rRNA from 1 species